UUGAGUUCAGUUGAGUUGAGUUGUGCUUAUCUUUGGCCCAUUUUGCGGCCAAAUUCUAAGCAGUCUGUUAGCCACGCUAAAGGCGAGCACAGUCCAUUUGGUAAAUUUCAGGGCCAAACAAAUUUGCUAAUUACCCCAAAAGUGCACAAAAUCUGUGUGUAAAGUACAAACAACAAAUCGAAAGUUGAAAACACCACAAAAAUAGCUAACAAUACACUGCGUGGAAUUCAUUCACCAACAGCUGCUCGCACUUAAUGUUUGUUUAAACUUAGCAAAAGAAAAAUGUUUAAAUCUAAACAAAACUUGGCAAUUUAUAUUGAUUGAAAUGGAAGUCAACUUUAAUUAGCAAUUAAAUAACAGACUGCAGCCUCAAGAAACUGUGAAAUGAUAAUUUGAGAAAUUCUUUAAGAUUCGCAAACGUUUAAAUCUACACAAAAGUUAGAAACUUAAACCAAUUGAACUGGAAGUCAACUUUAAUUAGUAAUUAAAUAAAAGAUAAAUAUUUGGGACUAAGUUCAAAUUUACUUUACUUGAGUAAUCCUGUUUUCUGUAUUAUAUUUCAACACACACUCUUAUUUUGAAAAUAAAACAAUCAAUUUGGCAAAACAUUACUCAUAUAUUGGAUUAUACAAAACCACAAGAAUAAAUAAAGAAGGCAAUUGCAGGCAAAAACCAGCUGCCCAUAA